rnacentral:rRNA from 1 species
GAUGAACGCUGGCGGCGUGCUUAACACAUGCAAGUCGAACGGAAAGGCCACAGCUUGCUGUGGUACUCGAGUGGCGAACGGGUGAGUAACACGUGGGUGAUCUGCCCUGUACUUCGGGAUAGCUUGGGAAACUGGGUCUAAUACCGGAUAGGAAUCACAUGUGGGUGUGUGGUUGGAAAGCUUUUGCGGUAUGGGAUGAGCUCGCGGCCUAUCAGCUUGUUGGUGGGGUAAUGGCCUACCAAGGCGUCGACGGGUAGCCGGCCUGAGAGGGUGUACGGCCACAUUGGGACUGAGAUACGGCCCAGACUCCUACGGGAGGCAGCAGUGGGGAAUAUUGCACAAUGGGCGCAAGCCUGAUGCAGCGACGCCGCGUGGGGGAUGACGGCCUUCGGGUUGUAAACUCCUUUCGUCAGGGACGAAGCGAAAGUGACGGUACCUGGAUAAGAAGCACCGGCUAACUACGUG